rfam:Chitinophaga pinensis DSM 2588, complete genome.
GAAGGGAUAGCUCAAUUGGAAGAGCGCCGCCCCGGCACGUCGGAGAAUGCAGGUUCGAAGCCUGCUCCCUUCG